rfam:Pseudoalteromonas citrea DSM 8771 strain NCIMB 1889 contig020, whole genome shotgun sequence.
CGCUUUUGCUGAAUUAGUGAUCGGCUUAAGCACAAUUUAAAUUAAUUUUGGAGUUAUUAUGUCACUAAGUACUCAAGAAAAAGUAGAAAUCGUUGCUAAAUUUGCACGUGUUGAA